UACGUAGGGUGCGAGCGUUAAUCGGAAUUACUGGGCGUAAAGGGUGCGUAGGCGGUUUGAUAAGUCUGAUGUGAAAUCCCCGGGCUCAACCUGGGAACGGCAUUGGAGACUGUCAAGCUAGAGUGCGUCAGAGGGGGGUAGAAUUCCACGUGUAGCAGUGAAAUGCGUAGAGAUGUGGAGGAAUACCGAUGGCGAAGGCAGCCCCCUGGGAUGGCACUGACGCUGAAGCACGAAAGCGUGGGGAGCAAACAGG
rnacentral:rRNA from 1 species